rnacentral:lncRNA from 1 species
CGUGUUUUUCCCAUUUCAAAAUUUCUUGAAGCUUGUUCACCCUUCCAAUUUUAUGAUAUCAUAGUAUGUUGCUGUUUUCAUUAGAACUAUUAAUAAUAUAUGCACAAAAAGAAAUGUCAUAAGAUGUUGAAACGUUAUUAAUUCGUCACCAUUAUUUCAUCAUAUGCUAUCCGAUAUACGUUUUAGUGUCAAUAUCAAUAAAACACUAUCC